AUGUUUCGUCUCAUCGGCGGUUGGUUCAAGCGAUUUCGUCGUUGCUGGUGGUCUUGUUCUUCAAGCGUCGGUGAUAGAUUUUGGGUAGACAUGGAAGAAAAUCGAGGUUCUGGAUUGGAUCUGAGUUACCUUUAUCAUUUCAAACAAUUUCAAAUCUGGUUUUACAGUAUAUGGGUCUUUUGUUACUAG